rnacentral:rRNA from 1 species
CCUACGGGUGGCAGCAGUGAGGAAUAUUGGUCAAUGGACGAGAGUCUGAACCAGCCAAGUAGCGUGAAGGAUGACUGCCCUAUGGGUUGUAAACUUCUUUUAUAUGGGAAUAAAACGUUCCACGUGUGGGAUUUUGUAUGUACCAUAUGAAUAAGGAUCGGCUAACUCCGUGCCAGCAGCCGCGGUAAUACGGAGGAUCCGAGCGUUAUCCGGAUUUAUUGGGUUUAAAGGGAGCGUAGGUGGAUUGUUAAGUCAGUUGUGAAAGUUUGCGGCUCAACCGUAAAAUUGCAGUUGAAACUGGCAGUCUUGAGUACAGUAGAGGUGGGCGGAAUUCGUUGUGUAGCGGUGAAAUGCUUAGAUAUCACGAAGAACUCCGAUUGCGAAGGCAGUUCACUGGACUGCAACUGACACUGAGGCUCGAAAGUGUGGGUAUCAAACAGGAUUAGAUACCCCAGUAGUC